GGAUGUGAGGAUGAUCCGGCUGUGACAUCUGUCACGUUGGCGAUCGCCAGGGUUGAUUUGGCUGAUCUGGCUGGUGAGGCAGCUGUCCCCUCUUCUUUCCUGGUUGCUUCCUGCGACUCCCACCGCCUCCCUCCUCGAUAAUGCAAUAUUUAAAAAAAAAAAAAAAAACAUUUGAUCGAUGUAAAUGGUUUUAAAAACCAAGCAGCUAUAGUUCAUGCUGAGGUGUUUUCAGGUGUUUGAAUU
rnacentral:sRNA from 1 species